rnacentral:rRNA from 1 species
GACAAACGCUGGCGGCGUGCCUAAUACAUGCAAGUCGAGCGGACAGAAGGGAGCUUGCUCCCGGAAGUUAGCGGCGGACGGGUGAGUAACACGUGGGCAACCUACCCUGUAGAUCGGGAUAACAUCGAGAAAUCGGUGCUAAUACCGGAUAAUCAUUUGAAGUGCAUGCUUCGAAUGUAAAAGAUGGCUCCGGCUAUCACUACGGGAUGGGCCCGCGGCACAUUAGAUAGUUGGUAGGGUAAUGGCUUACCAAGGCAACGAUGCGUAGCCGACCUGAGAGGGUGAUCGGCCCCACUGGGACUGAGACACCACCCAGACUCCUACGGGAGGCAGCAGUAGGGAAGCGUCCGCAAUGGACGAAAGUCGGACGGAGCAACGCCGCGUGAGUGAUGAAGGUUUUCGGAUCGUAAAGCUCUGUUGUUAGGGAAGAACAAGUGCCGUUUGAAUAAGGCGGCACCUUGACGGUACCUAACCAGAAAGCCACGGCUAACUACGUGCCAGCCGCCGCCGUAAGAC